CAAAAAAAAUUCUUCUAUAUAUAUUUCUUAAAAAAUAUUGGUUAAGUUUAGACAAUUUCGUAAAGUAAAUUUACUAAAUAUUUAUAUAUCUGGAUCAUGCUGAAUCUUAUAUAUACUGAAUAUCUAAGUUAAAUCAUAUUUUUGAGAUUUUAUGACAUCAAAAAGUUUUCACAUUUUGUCUAUUUCUUAAUUGAUAUCAACUAAAUUUUAUAGGUUUUAUAGAUUACAAAAUAAUUUCCACAUAAUGUAACAAAGGCAAUCAAUAAUCUCUAUAUAUAUAAAGAGGUCCGUACAACUCAAAAACCAUUCAUGUGCUAGUUCUUCAAGGUGAAGCUAGUUUGUACUCGUGUUGAUUUUUCUGGUUCCUUGCUUCAAAGUUUUUUCACAAUUCUAUUUCGUUAGUUCCAUUUUUACCAGGAAUAGUUUACAGUGUACUAGGAACCUUUUGCAUGAAAUUUUCUUGUAGAGAUCGAUGAAAUCGCAUGAUCUCUCAAAUUUGACAGUAUUGUUUCUUUUAGCCAUAAACUGACAAAAUGCGUAAUUGAUUAGUUUCUAGUGUACUAAGAAAUCUACAUUAAAUUUUCUUGUACAGAUCGAUGAAGUUAGAUGAUCUCUCAAAUUUGACAAUGUUGUUUCUUCUUGCGUUAUUAAUUGUUAAAAAUGACAAUACGGCCUCGUACAUAAUUAGAUUUCUUAAAAUAAAUUUAUCAGCGAGAAGUUGAUUAUGGUCAUGUCUCGUUCGCUAUAAGGACGUUUCUUCGAUGUCUCUGAUUCUAGUAAUGUUGAAUUAAGAUUCUUGAUAUAAAUUGUUUUUUUAAAGACAGUAUAAUACAUUAGAGUUUUUUUUAAGUAAUAAUUAAUAAUUUGCUUUAAUGCAAAAGAAAGAAGCAAAAGUUAACUCUCGUUGUUUGGAAAAUGAAGCUUCGAGCCUUCGACCAACUUCAAAGUUCAAACCAUGGCUGGAGAAGGAAGUAAACAAAACGCAACUAGAGAUGAUGCCUAUGCAUAUCUUAGGACUGUGAAGAAUCAAUUUCAGAACGAUCGUGAAAAAUAUAACGAUUUUCUUGCGAUUAUGAAUAAUUUUAAUGCUGGAAGAAUUGAUAGGAAUGGUUGCAUAGAAGAGGUGAAGGAGUUAUUUAAAGGACACCGAGACUUGAUUUCGGGUUUCAAUGUGUUUUUGCCAGUGUCUUUAGAGAUCGCUGAUUGGUACAACUUAGAGGGUCGCUGAUGUGUAGCGUCCAUCUAAUAAUUUUAGGAUCUAAACCGAGUUCGGGUUAGAUUCGUAUUCUAAGGCGAAUCUGUUUUUGAUUUGUUAUAUUACUCCAUUUAGCUAUUCAGCCUUAUAAAUAUAGGUUCUAAGAG